UAGUCAUUGCCCAUAGAACUAAGUAGGAUUCUUAGAUUGCGGUGAGAUUCAGUAAGUGUUUCAAAUACCAGAGGUUAUUGGUUACAUUUCAGAUUUUAUGUCGUCUUUCAGUGGCGCACACAUUAGAUAUGUAUCGAUGGUUAAAUUUGUGAAAAUGGUUUACAUGUCAAUGCAGGAAGUACAGCGCUGAAAUCGCACACAACGUCUCCACCUUGAAAAGGAAGGCGAUUGUGGAGCGCGCAGCACAGUUGAACAUUGCGUUGACCAACGGAAGUGCCCGUCUUCGCAGCCAGGAGGACGAAUAGAUGUGAUAGUUUUCCUCUCGAAACUCUCUUUUUCUAU
rnacentral:lncRNA from 1 species